rnacentral:rRNA from 1 species
CGAGGAUGCAAGCGUUAUCCGGAUUUAUUGGGUUUAAAGGGUACGUAGGCGGAAAAUUAAGUCAGUAGUGAAAUCCUGCAGCUUAACUGUAGAACUGUUAUUGAUACUGGUUUUCUUGAAUAUAGUUGAGGUAGGCGGAAUGUGUAAUGUAGCGGUGAAAUGCUUAGAUAUUACACAGAACACCGAUUGCGAAGGCAGCUUACUAAGCUAUGAUUGACGCUGAGGUACGAAAGCGUGGGGAGCGAACAGGAUUAGAUACCCGAGUAGUCC